UGCCCAAGAGAUCGGGAUAACACCUGGAAACAGAUGCUAAUACCGGAUAAUAACAGAUGAUGCCUAUCAACUGUUUAAAAGAUGGUUCUGCUAUCACUCUUGGAUGGACCUGCGGUGCAUUAGCUAGUUGGUAGGGUAACGGCCUACCAAGGCGAUGAUGCAUAGCCGAGUUGAGAGACUGAUCGGCCACAUUGGGACUGAGACACGGCCCAAACUCCUACGGGAGGCAGCAGCA
rnacentral:rRNA from 1 species